AUGGCAGAUGGCAUUGAGAACACCAGUAGGAAAUCUCGAGGUUUUCACCACCCCAAAUCUGGAGACCUGGAUCAUACAGACCCAGUUCAAAGAAGAACUCUUGUUCAGUGGCAAAUAAUCCAUGGCUGGGUACCUGUCCUUAGAUAUGGGAGCUACAAGUGGUGCACACCAGUUAACUGCCACUUCACAGUGGGCAUCAAGGUAUAUCAAAACCUGUCCAAGUUUAGCCUUUUGAGCACCAAUACUUGGUGCUUGAAUUAAACUUUCUCUCGUUUCGAAAUACCUUUACCAGGCCAUUCCACAGCUUAAUAUAUUCAUCUAGUUUUUCUUUUAAGCGUUCUUUAUUACUGAAAUCAUCAAUUAACACAAUUUCUGCUAAAUAUUUCCUUGGAGUUCUUUUGAUUACACUGUGGACUGUUCUCAUGGGGGUUGACCGUCCUUCACUAUGGAAGACAAUGGCAACACUUGAAGCGAGCAGAUUUUCAUCGUAAUGCCAAUACUUACAUCCUCAUCCUGCCCAGCGGGCUCCGGUCGUCAGGCUGUGCAGAGAGGGAAGAACAGAGGACCACGAGCCUCAGGAAACUUCCCACCACCAGCAAAUUGCGUGAGAUGAACCCAAUCUUCAGCCUCAUCUUCCUCCGGCAGUGAGAGACACACAGCCGCCGGGCACAGCCUUCGCCAGGGCUCUCCCCACCCUCCUUCCCCCUCCGGCUGGCUCUCUCUCCUNNNNNNNNNNNNNNNNNNNNNNNNNNNNNNNNNNNNNNNNNNNNNNNNNNNNNNNNNNNNCAGCUGCCGCUCCCCAAGUCUUACCCUUUUUAAACCCUCCCUCUCUGACAGCAGCUCACUGGUUUUCUCCAGCUCCCCUAAGAAUAAAGGGCCUACAAAACCCCAGGGUAGAUAGUGCACUGCUUCGCAAUACGUUGCUUUACAUACAUUAAUCUGAAUUGUCAUUUAUGGUUGAGCAGGGUCCAGUGUUUCUCCUGAAAGAAAUGGAAAAGUCUUUGGAGAGAGAGAGAGAGGGAGAGCCAGGCUGUGGCAGGAUGAAACAUGCAGAGAGGUACUGGGUCAUUUUGGUUUGUCAUGAAAAGAGCACAGCGAUGCUGUGUAGCAGUAUAUUUGACUCUGUGAUGGGCUGAGAAAUGAUUCCCCCAAAUAUACCCUGUCCUAGACCCUGGAACUUGGGGAUAUUACUUCAUGUGGAAACAUGAUCUUUGCAUAUACCGUUAAGAAUUUUGAGAUUGGGAGAUUUUCCUGGAUUAUCCAAGUGAGUUCUAAAUGCAAUUCUGUGCUGAUUGCAGGAGGGCAGAGGGAGAUGUGAGACACAGAACAGCAAGCAGUAUAGUCACAGAUAGAGACCUGAGCAAUGUUGUCACAAAGCAAGAAGUGCUAGAAGCCACAGGAACCUAGAAAAGGAUUCUCUCCGACAGCCUCUGGAGCAAUGCAACCCUGAUGACACCUGAGCUUGCCCCAGUGAUAAUGAGUUUGACCAUCUGGACUCCAAAACUGGGAGAUAAUAAAUUCUUCUACCUACACAACCAAGUUUAUGGUGAUUAGUUACAGUGGUCACA
rnacentral:lncRNA from 1 species